rnacentral:lncRNA from 1 species
GUGUCUAGAGACUCUCCAGAGGUAGGGUUUCAGGUGUAUAGAGACUCUCCAGAGGUAGGGUUUCAGGUGUCUAGAGACUCUCCAGAGGUAGGGUUUCAGGUGUCUAGAGACUCUCCAGAGGUAGGGUUUCAGGUGUCUAGAGACUCUCCAGAGGUAGGGUUUCAGGUGUUUAGAGACUCUCCAGAGGUAGGGUUUCAGGUGUCUAGAGACUCUCCAGAGGUAGGGUUUCAGGUGUUUAGAGACUCCAGAGGUAGGGUUUCAGGUGUUUAGAGACUCUCCAGAGGUAGGGUUUCAGGUGUUUAGAGACUCUCCAGAGGUAGGGUUUCAGGUGUCUAGAGACUCUCCAGAGGUAGGGUUUCAGGUGUUUAGGAAAGAUGAGCAGGGACUCUGCUGUCCUGACUUCAGGGGGAAGCUGGUUCCACCAUUGGGGUGCCAGGACAGAGUAGAGCUUGGACUGGGCUGAGUGGACAUUGGGGUGCCAGGACAGAGAAGAGCUUGGACUGGGCUGAGUGGACAUUGGGGUGCCAGGACAGAGAAUAGCUUGGACUGGGCUGAGUGAACAUUGGUGUGCCAGGACAGAGAAUAGCUUGGACUGGGCUGAGUGAACAUUGGUGUGCCAGGGCAGAGAAGAGCUUGGACUGGGCUGAGUGGAGAUUGGG